UCCGUAGGCGGAUUAAUAAGUCAGAGGUGAAAUCCCACAGCUUAACUGUGGAACUGCCUUUGAUACUGUUAGUCUUGAGUUAUAUGGAAGUAGAUAGAAUGUGUAGUGUAGCGGUGAAAUGCAUAGAUAUUACACAGAAUACCGAUUGCGAAGGCAGUCUACUACGUAUAUACUGACGCUAAUGGACGAAAGCGUGGGGAGCGAACAGGAUUAGAUACCCUGGUAGUCC
rnacentral:rRNA from 1 species